rfam:Astyanax mexicanus Tnplaced_Scaffold2567, whole genome shotgun sequence.
UCCUCGUUAGUAUAGUGGACAGUAUCUCCGCCUGUCACGCGGAAGACCGGGGUUCGAUUCCCCGACGGGGAG